rnacentral:rRNA from 1 species
CAGCCGCCGCGGUAAUACGGAGGAUCCAAGCGUUAUCCGGAUUUAUUGGGUUUAAAGGGUGCGUAGGCGGCUUAUUAAGUCAGGGGUGAAAGGCGGUAGCUUAACUAUCGGAGUGCCCUUGAUACUGAUGAGCUUGAAUGCAGCUGAGGUAGGCGGAAUGUGACAAGUAGCGGUGAAAUGCAUAGAUAUGUCACAGAACACCGAUUGCGAAGGCAGCUUACUAAAGUGUGAUUGACGCUGAGGCACGAAAGCGUGGGGAUCAAACAGGAUUAGAUACCCCCGUAGUCCCUGUCUCUUAUAU